UGUUCGAGGGAGAGAGGGAAGAGACGCUGUUGAUUUUGAACCUGCGCCGCCAGAACACGGAUUAAUACAACUAGCUGAGGAUCUACCUACCCGAACAAGGUGCUCCAUAUUGAAAAGGCACCUGUCAUUCUUUGACCAUGUCUAAGGACCAGUGUGAAUCCGUAGCGGUGAGCGUCGAGUCCCUUUUAACCGACUCAGUUAAGAUGCAGUCCCAGUGUCGGGAGCGUAGUGAGCAGCUAGCUAUGGCCGCCGCCGCACUGAGGGAGGAGUCGGCGUGCUUGAGAGAACAGUGUCAAGCCACCCAGCUGGAUAUGGCCCGGAUGAGAAGACAGCUAGAAGAACUGCUGGAUACCAAGGCUCAGAUGGAGGCCAGUGAUAGAAUGCACCGCAAACUCAGCAAGACACUCUAAAGGGAGAUGAGGGGAGAGAAGGAGA